rnacentral:rRNA from 1 species
AUCCCACCUGACCCCAUGCCGAACUCAGAAGUGAAACGCCGUAGCGCCGAUGGUAGUGUGGGGUCUCCCCAUGCGAGAGUAGGGAACUGCCAGGU